rnacentral:lncRNA from 1 species
UGAGAACUACUCAGUCGAUCGAUAUGGGGUGGCCUACGUGUUGUUUGUAGUGGGCUACUGGGCUGCUUAGUUAUGAUUAGCGGGCCUAUUUAGCAUUAUCUUUGUCUAGCUUUUAUUUGUUCUCCCGUUGUAUUUUCUUGAACCUUUGUUUUCUUUUUCUUUCACGUGGAUUUGCUAUUGUUUUCUUUUGUUCUUGGAUAUGUGACAUGUGUGUGCAUUUAUUCUUCUUCUCAUUUAAAAAUUUCUAGGCUAUUUAUCUGCACUGAGAAAUUUUUAUUUCUCAAUUGGUCGAUUAGCACGCGGAUUAACUUGUGCGCGAUUUGGGGUCUAGAAAUGUCCAAUUAGGUUAUUGCACGUCC